UGAUAGGUCCGAGGUGGAAGCGUGGCGACACGUGCAGCUGACGGAUACUAAUCGAUCGAGGACUUAACUAAG
rnacentral:rRNA from 1 species